CCCAAAUAUAUUAAUUUGGGAUUUUAAUUUAAAUGUAAAAUUAAUGGUUCCAAAUUACUGAGAAGGGCUCGUAUAUUAAUUUAAAAUAUUUAAUUUUCUAUCCCAAUUAAUAUGGAAGACCACAAUAACUAACUAACUAACUAACUAAACUCUGCCCUUUCUGUGGCGUUAGCCGAUCGAACUCGCCACGCGAGGAGAGGGAGGAUGAGAAGACCGAAGCCGUAGAGGUGCGGCCUUGGCGCCCCAUGGCGGUAACGAUCUUGCGGGUCGCGGCCGUUCUCCGAAUAGAUCUUAAGCGCCCCGUCGUUUCCUCGUAGAUGAGCACCGAGAUGCGCUUCGCCUCGCCCAUCCGCGGCAAUCGCCCGAUCGCCGGCUUCUUGAUCCUCUAGUUAUUGUUCCUUGGAACUUUCCGGUGCCGUUUCGUCCCGCCUUCUGCUGCGCACCCGGAUCGCGGAUCUGGUGGACUCCCGCGGCGGAUGGUAUGCCGUUUAUUUGAUGGUCUUCGUAUGCUCGCUUUGCCCUUGAGAUGGGAAACCGAUCCGUGGCAGCUUCUUGCUUCUUUUUCUGACCGUCGUAUUCACGAAGGUCUCUGUUCGUUGGUGGGAACGAGAAGUUGCCGGAUUCAACCUCGAGGAAAAGCUAUAUAACACCACAGUUCACACACACACAAGCAUUGCUCUCUCCGGUUCAUUAGAUGAUUGAGCAAUGGAGUUGGGACUCAAGAACGCAGAUGAUGACCUGAAUCUGGAGCUGGGGUUGCAGCCAUGGAGUAGUCUGCCGGAGCCAGUGAUGAUGUUCACCUGCUCCUACUGCCCCCGCAAGUUCCACAGCUCCCAGGCUUUAGGAGGUCAUCAGAACGCUCACAAGCUGGAGCGGAGCCUCGCCAUGCAGCGCCGGGAGCUGGCCUUGGCCAUCCGUGAGAAGACAGACGGCUUCGGAUCUACCAGCAAUGGCGGUGUGGAUGAUAGGAAGAAGCUAGCAGUAGAGAUUGACUUGUCCUUGAGACUAUGAGAACGUUGUUAAGUUCCGAGUCAACUUGUUCCAUGUUCUUCUUCCUUGUAUUCUGAUUAAAUAGGUCAGAUCAUGAUUAGAUCAAGGUGGACUACUGUUUGAAGUAGUGAUAUAGUCUAUACUAUUGGAUGCGUUCAUUAAGAGUGGGUCUCGUGAGUUGCCUUUAUAAGUUACUAUAGAUUUCUUUUUUCUUUAAAUUUGUAUAGAUUAACGGACGAAUUCCAGAAAACACUUUUGUUUUUGGGCUUUUAAUGGGAAGUGCCUCCAUUUCUAAAA